rnacentral:tRNA from 1 species
GUGGGCGUAGCUCAGACCGGUAGAGCGCUUGGCUGUGGCCCAAGAUGUCGUGGGUUCAAAUCCCAUCGUCCACCCCA